rnacentral:rRNA from 1 species
GACGUAGGGCGCGAGCGUUGUCCGGAUUUAUUGGGCGUAAAGAGCUCGUAGGCGGUCUGUCGCGUCGGAUGUGAAAACCCGGGGCUUAACCCCGGGCCUGCAUUCGAUACGGGCAGACUCGAGUGUGGUAGGGGAGACUGGAACUCCUGGUGUAGCGGUGAAAUGCGCAGAUAUCAGGAAGAACACCGGUGGCGAAGGCGGGUCUCUGGGCCACUACUGACGCUGAGGAGCGAAAGCGUGGGGAGCGAACAGG